GAUGGCUCAGUUGGUUGAGCAUCUGACUUGGGCUCAGGUCAUGAUCUCACAGUUUGUGGGUUCGAGCCCCACAUCA
rnacentral:tRNA from 1 species